CCCGCCACUGCGCCUGUCACUAUAUUGGCUUGUGCAAUCCAGUGGUGAGCUGAGACUAAACCCCAGCUUAGGAAACAGGGUUGUUCUCCAUGUGGAUGACUCUGUGCCGAAGGCAUGGGAACAGCC